AUACCGGAGAAUGUUAUCACGGGAGACACACGGCGGGUGCUAACGUCCGUCGUGAAGAGGGAAACAACCCAGACCGCCAGCUAAGGUCCCAAAGUCAUGGUUAAGUGGGAAACGAUGUGGGAAGGCCCAGACAGCCAGGAUGUUGGCUUAGAAGCAGCCAUCAUUUAAAGAAAGCGUAAUAGCUCACUGGUCGAGUCGGCCUGCGCGGAAGAUGUAACGGGGCUAAACCAUGCACCGAAGCUGCGGCAGCGACGCUGAUGCGUUGUUGGGUAGGGGAGCGUUCUGUAAGCCUGUGAAGGUGUGCUGUGAGGCAUGCUGGAGGUAUCAGAAGUGCGAAUGCUGACAUAAGUAACGAUAAAGCGGGUGAAAAGCCCGCUCGCCGGAAGACCAAGGGUUCCUGUCCAACGUUAAUCGGGGCAGGGUGAGUCGACCCCUAAGGCGAGGCCGAAAGGCGUAGUCGAUGGGAAACAGGUUAAUAUUCCUGUACUUGGUGUUACUGCGAAGGGGGGACGGAGAAGGCUAUGUUGGCCGGGCGACGGUUGUCCCGGUUUAAGCGUGUAGGCUGGUUUUCCAGGCAAAUCCGGAAAACUAAGGCUGAGGCGUGAUGACGAGGCACUACGGUGCUGAAGCAACAAAUGCCCUGCUUCCAGGAAAAGCCUCUAAGCAUCAGGUAACAUCAAAUCGUACCCCAAACCGACACAGGUGGUCAGGUAGAGAAUACCAAGGCGCUUGAGAGAACUCGGGUGAAGGAACUAGGCAAAAUGGUGCCGUAACUUCGGGAGAAGGCACGCUGAUAUGUAGGUGAAGUCCCUCGCGGAUGGAGCUGAAAUCAGUCGAAGAUACCAGCUGGCUGCAACUGUUUAUUAAAAACACAGCACUGUGCAAACACGAAAGUGGACGUAUACGGUGUGACGCCUGCCCGGUGCCGGAAGGUUAAUUGAUGGGGUCAGCGCAAGCGAAGCUCUUGAUCGAAGCCCCGGUAAACGGCGGCCGUAACUAUAACGGUCCUAAGGUAGCGAAAUUCCUUGUCGGGUAAGUUCCGACCUGCACGAAUGGCGUAAUGAUGGCCAGGCUGUCUCCACCCGAGACUCAGUGAAAUUGAACUCGCUGUGAAGAUGCAGUGUACCCGCGGCAAGACGGAAAGACCCCGUGAACCUUUACUAUAGCUUGACACUGAACAUUGAGCCUUGAUGUGUAGGAUAGGUGGGAGGCUUUGAAGUGUGGACGCCAGUCUGCAUGGAGCCGACCUUGAAAUACCACCCUUUAAUGUUUGAUGUUCUAACGUUGACCCGUAAUCCGGGUUGCGGACAGUGUCUGGUGGGUAGUUUGACUGGGGCGGUCUCCUCCUAAAGAGUAACGGAGGAGCACGAAGGUUGGCUAAUCCUGGUCGGACAUCAGGAGGUUAGUGCAAUGGCAUAAGCCAGCUUGACUGCGAGCGUGACGGCGCGAGCAGGUGCGAAAGCAGGUCAUAGUGAUCCGGUGGUUCUGAAUGGAAGGGCCAUCGCUCAACGGAUAAAAGGUACUCCGGGGAUAACAGGCUGAUACCGCCCAAGAGUUCAUAUCGACGGCGGUGUUUGGCACCUCGAUGUCGGCUCAUCACAUCCUGGGGCUGAAGUAGGUCCCAAGGGUAUGGCUGUUCGCCAUUUAAAGUGGUACGCGAGCUGGGUUUAGAACGUCGUGAGACAGUUCGGUCCCUAUCUGCCGUGGGCGCUGGAGAACUGAGGGGGGCUGCUCCUAGUACGAGAGGACCGGAGUGGACGCAUCACUGGUGUUCGGGUUGUCAUGCCAAUGGCACUGCCCGGUAGCUAAAUGCGGAAGAGAUAAGUGCUGAAAGCAUCUAAGCACGAAACUUGCCCCGAGAUGAGUUCUCCCUGACUCCUUGAGAGUCCUGAAGGAACGUUGAAG
rnacentral:rRNA from 1 species